UAGGGAAUAUUGCUCAAUGGGGCGAAAGCCUGAAGCAGCAACGCCGCGUGGAGGAUGACACUUUUCGGAGCGUAAACUCCUUUUCUUAGGGAAGAAAUUUGACGGUACCUAAGGAAUAAGCACCGGCUAACUCCGUGCCAGCAGCCGCGGUAAUACGGAGGGUGCAAGCGUUACUCGGAAUCACUGGGCGUAAAGGACGCGUAGGCGGAUUAUCAAGUCUUUUGUGAAAUCUAAAUGGCUUAACCAUUAAACUGCUUGAGAAACUGAUAAUCUAGAGUGAGGGAGAGGCAGAUGGAAUUGGUGGUGUAGGGGUAAAUCCGUAGAGA
rnacentral:rRNA from 1 species